GUGGGUCUUAUUCAGCAUUGUUCAGGGAGCCUAUGGCUCCUGGUUCAUACUCCUUGUCACCCUUGGCUUCCCAUUGCCUUUAUCCCACUAUUUCCCUUCUCUGUCCCUCCUAUUACAGUGGAAGAUGUGGCCUUCUUCCAUUUGUAUGGAGUCCCUACACCUGUGCCCUGGCUGCCAUCACCUGUUAUCUGCUCAGGAACCUUUGCUUUCCAUUGGCUUCUGUCUCCCUGGUCCUUCAGUCUCUACUGGCCCUGCCCUGUAAUUUAAUGUUCUAGCUUAUCUCAAAACAAAACCAUGCCUUGAUCUGAUUUUUUCCCUCAAUCUGUGUUCCCUACCUCCAUGCCCUGCCCUCCACCAGCCAGCCAGACUUCUUGACACUAUCAUCUUCAUUUAGGUCUUCCUUGUCCCACCUUACACGCACUGCUAAUCCACUCCAGAACUUCUGAGUCCCUUAUCCCAGGGCCCCAGUGAGCUCCAUGCCGCCAAACACUUUUCAUUUCUCAUCUUGUCUGUCAGUGAGGACUGAGCAUGCCAAGCCAAGAAUAAGGAAAGAAUGGACAUGGGGAAGGCGACUGUCAAUGACCUUAUUGACUCCCUCAGUGAUCAAUGCUAAGGGCCGUUCCCUCCUUCUUGAAGUAGUCUCUUCUCUUGGGCUCCAUGAUAUUAUGCUUCCCUAGUUUCCUUCCCCUCUGGCUGCUCCUUCUUAGGCUUCUUGACAGACAUUCUUUCUUCUGUCCUCCUUAGGUUUCUCUUUUCACUCUUAACUCUCUUCCUGGGUGAUAUUUAUUUCUGUGGAUUUAAUGACCUUGCGAACACAAGAGACCCCCAAAUCCUUAUCUUCUGCCUAUAUGCAAAGAUCUCCAAGUCUUUUUUUUUUUUUUUAAGAUUUUAUUUUUAAGUAAUCUCUACACCCAAUGAAGGAUUUGAGCCUACAAUCCUGAGAUCAAGAGUCGAAUGCGCCACCAACUGAGCCAGCCAGGCAUCCCUAAAGAUCUCCCAAUCUUUAUCUCCUGCUUUGAUCCAUUUGUCAAGAUUGGGAUGUUUACAAGGAUGAAGAAUCAAAUCCUGACCCUGAACAAGGCCCUCCGUGACCAGGCCAUGCCGGCCUCCACAUGAUAAAAGCAAUGAUUAGAAGUCUGAGAAAGGAACCAAGGACAGAAGUUAUGACCACACUGUUCAGCACUUAAUUUUCAGACACAGAGAGACAGAGCAUGAGCAGGGGAGGAACAGAGAGAGAAGGAGACACAGAAUCCAAAGUAGGCUCCAGGCUCUGAGCUAUCAGCACAAAGCCUGAUGUGGGGCUCCAACCCACCGACCUCAAGAUCAUGACCUGAGCCAAAGCUGAAUGCUCAACUGACUGAGCCACCCAGGCACCCCCCAGUCCUGAAAUUCUUAAGAACAGCUGGACAUCACCUGUUUCCAGAUGUAAAUCUCCAGGUAAGGACUGACAUUGUCCCCACUUGGAUAAGCACAUCACCCUGGACCGGUCAUCUGCAGACAGACAGAAUCAUGGUGCACUGCAUGGUGGCUUGCAUGUAAUUAUGUGGAUGGUGUGCAUGUGUGUGUGUGUGUGUGUGUGUGUGUGUGUGUGUGUGUAUAAGGGUUGAAGAACAGAAAAGUAAGGGUUUGUUUCUAGAAGGAAAGGAGCUCUGUAUUUGCAAAACAAUAGUCUUCACAACAUGAAAUUUUGUUAAGAUCAGAAAAAAUUAUGUGAUUUUUAAGUGCAUAAAUUAUUUUCUGUAACUUCUUAGUAAAUCAGCACUGACUUAUCCGUUUCUCUUUCAAACAGAUAACUCAUUCUUUGCCAGCUAGUUCAUAAAUUCUAUUACUUAUUAACCCAUAAACUGUAAAGAUUAUCUGCUUCAGUCCCGUCAUUCUAGAAAGGAUGGACUCAAGCCCGGAGGGGUGGCAGGACUUGCUAAGCUCCCUCAGGGGGUUGGCAGACUGCCGUCUUCGGCACCUUCCUUGUCCAUUGCCAUUCUUCGCCUCUGCCCAAAUCACCCAUCCUCCCUAAGGCCUCCCCACAUCUGAGCUUGUGCCCCUAAGCUCAGAUGUUUUUUCAGAACGAAGUCCUAAAAGUACAGCAAGCCUGACAGCCCCAUGGCAAUGUCCCUCUAUUCAGCUGCAUUUCCUAGACCCUGAUCCGGACUAGAAACCUGGAGUCAUUUCCUGCAUAAUUACUCUAACUCCCUGACAUUCAGUGGAGCAUGGGUAGGGCAAAGCCCUUUCAAGGAUAUAUUGGAGAGGACAUAAGCACAUUCUGGGGGAAGGGCGCAUCAUGCCUCUAAAUGUUACAGGUUGUUACUUUUUUUUAAUGUUUAUUUGUUUUGGCUGUGCCUGGGUGUUUCAGUCAGUUAAGCCUCAACUUGGGCUCAGGUCAUGAUCUCACAGUUCAUGAGUUCGAGCCCUGUGCUGACAACUCAGAGCCUGGAGCCUGCUUCGGAUUCUGUGUCUCCUUUUCUCUCUGCCCCUCCCCCCACUUGCACUCUUUCUGUCUCUCUCUC